rfam:Equus caballus cont2.30954, whole genome shotgun sequence.
ACUGAGCUGAGGCGAGGGGCCUCAAAAAGGGGUCUAGAAAAAGGGGGGGGCGGGUGAGUGGCUGUGAGCGACCCCCAAACAAAGAAAGGGGG